rnacentral:rRNA from 1 species
UACGUAGGGGGCAAGCGUUGUCCGGAAUCAUUGGGCGUAAAGCGCGUGUAGGCGGCCUUGUAAGUCUGUUCUGAAAGUCCGGGGCUCAACCCCGGGAGGCGGAUGGAUACUGCAAGGCUCGAGUACGGAAGAGGCGAGUGGAAUUCCCGGUGUAGCGGUGAAAUGCGCAGAUAUCGGGAGGAACACCAAUGGCGAAGGCAGCUCGCUGGGACGUUACUGACGCUAAGACGCGAAAGCGUGGGGAGCAAACAGG